UACGUAGGGUGCAAGCGUUUAAUCGGAAUUACUGGGCGUAAAGCGUGCGCAGGCGGUUGUGCAAGACAGAUGUGAAAUCCCCGGGCUCAACCUGGGAAUUGCAUUUGUGACUGCACGGCUAGAGUGUGUCAGGAGGGGGGUAGAAUUCCACGUGUAGCAGUGAAAUGCGUAGAGAUGUGGAGGAAUACCGAUGGCGAAGGCAGCCCCCCUGGGAUAACACUGACGCUCAUGCACGAAAGCGUGGGGGAGCAAACAGG
rnacentral:rRNA from 1 species